UAUAUACAUGCAGAAACCACCUAAUUUUCAUUUUCAUUUCCCAAGAGCUAGCAAUGGCAUCAAUGAAGGCUGAGAAACCUGUUGGCACCCAACUCUCUGGGCAGGUGAAGAAGGAAGCUUCAGCUUCAAAGGCCUCUGAUGCUUCCUCCAAAGCCGCCGCUUCCAAGCCCGCCGCCAGGAAGGCUGCUCAGAAGCCUCAGGAACCGAAAAAGGCCGCCGCCAAGAAGGGAAAAGGCGGGAAAGCGGCGACCAAGGAGUAGUUACCAGCUCCGAUGCGAGAGUGGAUUUUUAUGACUUAAGAUCAUGAAUAUCUAAAGCUAUAUAAGAUAUGUGUGUGUAUGUUUAUGUUAUGAUCAGGGAAACUUAACUAAUUAGGGUUUUCUUGUAAGUUACUUUCACAAAGAUACUGCACUAAUUAAAUAAGAAAUCAUUAACUAUCAG